UACGGAGGUCUCAAGCGUUGUUCGGAUUCAUUGGGCGUAAAGGGUGCGUAGGCGGCGCGGUAAGUCGGGUGUGAAAGCCCUCGGCUCAACCGGGGAAGUGCACUCGAAACUGCAAGGCUAGAGUCUCGGAGAGGAUCGUGGAAUUCUCGGUGUAGAGGUGAAAUUCGUAGAUAUCGAGAGGAACACCGGUGGCGAAGGCGGCGAUCUGGACGAUGACUGACGCUGAGACGCGAAAGCGUGGGGAGCAAACAGG
rnacentral:rRNA from 1 species